rnacentral:RNase_P_RNA from 1 species
AAUUCAAUCCGGGCAAUUGCUCUCCGGUUAGCCGGAGGGAGGAAAGUCCGAACUUCACAGAACAAGGUGCCGGGUAACGCCCGGGCGUUAAUGGAGUAAUCUGUUUUCGACUGAAAGUGCAACAGAAAAUAAACUACCUUGAAGAAAUUCAGGGAAAAGGUGAAAUGGCGAGGUAAAAGCUCACCGGCUUAGCAGUAAUGCUAAGUGCUAUGCAAACCACACCUGAAGCAAGGUCAAGUAAAAAAAUCUUUUUAAUUCGCUUUUCAUAACAGGAAGGCUGAUUAAGACAAAGUUGUUCGCUUUGAACCAAUACUUAAUUGCUGGUUGGAUUUUUGGGUGGACCGCUAAACUUUACCGGUAACGGUAAAGUAAGAUAAAUAAUUGCCGCUCCGAACAUUAUCGGGGUUACAAAAUUCGGCUUAUAGGAUUGUUUUAUUU